ACUGGUAUUUCGCGGGAAAUAGUUGCGGAAAACAAAGCCCCGGCACUGGUCGAUAAUAUGAAACAGCGGGUUCCAGAUGAACAUGGUCAGCAUGACCCCACCCAGCGCAUUGCCCACAAACAUCUUACCCGAAAAUAUCAUGUUCAAACGCCG
rnacentral:ncRNA from 1 species